ensembl:ncRNA T28C12.14 ncRNA
GUCGGCAACAACUCAAAAAUGUGUUGUAUAUCGUGUUUAUUGCUCUUUGCAUACAGAUGCCGGUGCUCCCUCCUCCUCCUCCCGUACGCUCAUGUGUUGUUCUGAUCCGCAGCGCAUACGAUCUCCUUUCGUUUCACA